CAUUAAAGAAUCGCCCCGUUUUUUGAAAUGGGUUCUAUUCCCAAACCGUGUAUACAUACCUUUGUUGCUUUGGCAGGCCGCCUCCUAGGCGUCGGCUUCGGCUGACUGCGCCUGCCAGAGGACCCAAACUCGUUUGUUUAGUGAUGUCUGAGUACUAUAUAAUAGUUAAAACUUUCAACAACGGAUCUCUUGGUUCUGGCAUCGAUGAAGAACGCAGCGAAAUGCGAUAAGUAAUGUGAAUUGCAGAAUUCAGUGAAUCAUCGAAUCUUUGAACGCACAUUGCGCCCCUUGGUAUUCCGAGGGGCAUGCCUGUUCGAGCGUCAUUAUAACCACUCAAGCCUCAGCUUGGUCUUGGGGUUCGCGGUUCCGCGGCCCUUAAAAUCAGUGGCGGUGCCGUCUGGCUCUAAGCGUAGUAAUUCUCUCGCUAUAGGGUUCCGGCGGUUACCUGUCAAAACCCCUCCAUUUUUUAUGGUUG
rnacentral:rRNA from 1 species